GCAAGUCGAACGAACUCUUCGGAGUUAGUGGCGGACGGGUGAGUAACACGUGGGAACGUGCCUUUAGGUUCGGAAUAACUCAGGGAAACUUGUGCUAAUACCGAAUGUGCCCUUCGGGGGAAAGAUUUAUCGCCUUUAGAGCGGCCCGCGUCUGAUUAGCUAGUUGGUGAGGUAAUGGCUCACCAAGGCGACGAUCAGUAGCUGGUCUGAGAGGAUGAUCAGCCACAUUGGGACUGAGACACGGCCCAAACUCCUACGGGAGGCAGCAGUGGGGAAUCUUGCGCAAUGGGCGAAAGCCUGACGCAGCCAUGCCGCGUGAAUGAUGAAGGUCUUAGGAUUGUAAAAUUCUUUCACCGGGGACGAUAAUGACGGUACCCGGAGAAGAAGCCCCGGCUAACUUCGUGCCAGCAGCCGCGGUAAUACGAAGGGGGCUAGCGUUGCUCGGAAUUACUGGGCGUAAAGGGAGCGUAGGCGGACAUUUAAGUCAGGGGUGAAAUCCCGGGGCUCAACCUCGGAAUUGCCUUUGAUACUGGGUGUCUUGAGUAUGAGAGAGGUGUGUGGAACUCCGAGUGUAGAGGUGAAAUUCGUAGAUAUUCGGAAGAACACCAGUGGCGAAGGCGACACACUGGCUCAUUACUGACGCUGAGGCUCGAAAGCGUGGGGAGCAAACAGGAUUAGAUACCCUGGUAGUCCACGCCGUAAACGAUGAUUGCUAGUUGUCGGGAUGCAUGCAUUUCGGUGACGCAGCUAACGCAUUAAGCAAUCCGCCUGGGGAGUACGGUCGCAAGAUUAAAACUCAAAGGAAUUGACGGGGGCC
rnacentral:rRNA from 1 species